AUCACUACUUUUGGUGGCCCACACUCAAUAAAGAUGUCAUUGAAUAUGUCUCUGCCUGUUCCACUUGAGCUAGGAACAAGACCUUACAUUGCCCACCUUCUGGUCUGUUACAACCACUGUCCAUUCCUAGUCGUCCCUGGUCCCACGUCUCCCUAAAUUUUGUUACUGGUCUCCCCACAUCCAAACAGAAGAGUGUCAUCCUCACCAUUAUGGACCGUUUUUCCAAGGCGUGUAAUUUGGUCACCCUCACUAAACUCCCCUCAGCCGCAGAGACAGAAAAACUUCUUUCGCCACGUUUUUUGCCUUCAUGGUAUCCCCACAGAGAUCGUCUCUGACAGGGGGCCUCAGUUCAGUUCCCAGCUCUGGCUGAACUUCUGUUCUGUGCUCGGGGCCUGGCCGUGUUUGUCUUUGGGGUUCCAUCCUCAAACCAAUGGACAAUGUGAACGACUUAACCAGGAACUGGAGAACACCCUGUGCUGCCUCUGCACCUCCAACCCGACCUCUUGGAGUGUGCACUUACUGUGGGUGGAGUACGCCCAUAACACACACAUAUCAUCUGCGACAGGGUUAUCUCAGUUUGAUGCGUCUCAAGGGUUCCAACCUUCCCUACUGCCGACAUCCUUCCCAGAUGUGGUCAUUCCAUCUGUCAGACGUCACAUGCAAAACUGUCAACGUAUUUGGAACCAGACUAAGGCCGCCCUUCAACGAACGUCUGCUCAGAAUAAGCUUCUGGCAGAUAGAAAGAGAAUUCCAGCCCCCAUCUUCUCGCCCGGCCAUCGUGUUUGGUUAUCGUCAAAGAAUUUUACUCUAAAGUCCUGUUCCCGCAAGUUGUCCUCCAGGCUUCAGGGUCCGUUCGUUGUUGACUCCGUCCUUAGCCCUUCUGCUUUCCGCCUUAGGUUCCCCUCUCAUUUCCGUGUCCACCGUGUUUCACGUUUCCCAGAUCAAACCCUACGUCUCCAGUCCUUUGUGGGUUAGAGUUGGGUUCUGCAGGGGAGGGUCCACCUUCUCCUUCACAAGGUGGCAGGCUGAUGGGAUCCAGCUGUUACUCAUCACCACCAAUCUGCAAGGUUCUUUAAGAGGAGCAGCUUCCCGGAAGAAGAUGCCAGAUGGUUCCGCUUCUACAGUGUGAACCCGCGCUGAACACUCUCUGAACCAGGACUCACCUGAAGUAUCUGAUUCUAGCUGCUCCGUUGGGCCUUGCACCGGGGUGCGUCACGCCCGCCACUCAGCUGCUGCCUGUCUGCCCUCAAUCACCUGCUGGAACUUCCCCAUCUGGAAAACCACCACAUCACACUAACUGUUGGUUCCCCAUGUACUCUCCUCUGCUUGCCUCUACCCACAGACCUUAAGUCGCCAUCAGGUAACUCCGUCAUUCCCUUCAUUACUUCCCUCUUUAACCUCUCGCCCUUUGCAGUUCCUCCGCUGGUCCGGUUCCUCCCUGCUGUCGCAGAUCGACGCCCCUCCACACGCUCUCCAGCACAUUCUAUUGCUAAAUAAAUCUGUUAAAACUG